AUCGCUUCUCGGCCUUUUGGCUAAGAUCAAGUGUAGUAUUAGUGCUCCGUUAACUUUUCUAAAUUUUUAGCCAAAUUUUUGUUUAUAAGGCCAUAGUUAUAUAUUAAAUUGUUGGUAAACGUCUCGUGAACCUGUUUGUUGGAUUUUAAAAUCGUUACUGCGCCGUUAU